AUUGAACGCUGGCGGCAUGCUUUACACAUGCAAGUCGAACGGCAGCACGGGGGCAACCCUGGUGGCGAGUGGCGAACGGGUGAGUAAUGCAUCGGAACGUGCCCUGUCGUGGGGGAUAACACAUCGAAAGAUGUGCUAAUACCGCAUACGACCUGAGGGUGAAAGCGGGGUACCGUAAGGCCUCGCGCGAUAGGAGCGGCCGAUGUCUGAUUAGCUAGUUGGUGGGGUAAAGGCCUACCAAGGCGACGAUCAGGAGCUGGUCUGAGAGGACGACCAGCCACACUGGGACUGAAACACGGCCCAGACUCCUACGGGAGGCAGCAGUGGGGAAUUUUGGACAAUGGGGGCAACCCUGAUCCAGCCAUGCCGCGUGCGGGAAGAAGGCCUUCGGGUUGUAAACCGCUUUUGGCAGGAACGAAACGGUGCGGGCGAAUACCCUGUGCUAAUGACGGUACCUGCAGAAUAAGCACCGGCUAACUACGUGCCAGCCGCCGCCGUAACAC
rnacentral:rRNA from 1 species